CGCGAGUGUGUGCGUGUGCGAGCUGGUCGGGGGCGGCUGGUGCGGCGACGGCGGCAACGGCGGUGCGAGUCGCAUUGAACCGCGAUGAUCGUGCUGUGGGAGAUUGGAAAAUCUCCAUGCGUGCUAUGUUUGGCUAGGCAGACGAUGAACAAAUAGAGCCGGGUAUGAACGUAUGGCACAAGAUCUAACCAGCUUUUUCCGGGAUACCAGCAAGCGCUACAGCUGUUGCGCCGUCUUGUUACAGAAGGACUGGGCAUCCGCAGACACAAGUGCAGUCCUUCAACCACUGCUGGUGUCAAGUGCAGGAAAAUAACAAGGGGCUCACAGAUUUUUUACAGAGCAGCCGAGACAGCAUAAUGCUGGAUUGUAACUCUGUUGUUACAGUGUCUUUCACCAAGCACAGCUGUUCCGGGGACGGCCACGUGCUGUCUUUUUGCCUGUUUGCUACGGUCGACACGGUGGAGGCAGGUCGUGACAUUGCACGGACGGCUGGACACCGAAGCGACGCAGGCUGACCAUCAACCUUCUCAAGGGUGACCCAUCUUCAGCCUCCUGACCUGAGAAGCCAGUUCCGCCCUCCCUUGGCCACUGUGUCGAAGUUUCUGCGAAGCACCUUCUCGGCAGUGGUGCAGAGAUGCAGAAUGUCUGGGGAUGGACUGUGGAGACCGCCCUUGUCCUUGACACGCACCAGGUCACAUUUGUCAGUGGUGAGAAGUGCAAUCCUUGCACAGUCCGGGCAUUUUGCGUCUUUUGCAAAGUGAACGGCCACAUUGCCCGCAAUGUAUUGUACAAUGCUCUCGGCAAACUCCGAGAGAGGCUUGUAUCCUAUAACCCAGGUGGCGUCGGCGUCGUCCUGGCUUGUGUCAGCUGUCGGGUCUUGCUGGCGCUUGUCCGACGAGCUCAAAAGGAGCGUCUCCGUGCCGUCGACCUGACAGUUGCCACGGCUCGAG
rnacentral:lncRNA from 1 species